GCCAGAAACCCCAAGCUGUGCCCAACUGGGCAGAGGGAUCCUCCUCCUGUCAUCCCUGGUCCUCUGUCAUCUCUGCUGGCCUUGUGCUAAUGUCUUCAGUACUUUCAGAGGUCCAGGACACACUCAAUACCUAUAACUAGGCACCAUCGCUUGUCUCUUAAGUCCAACAAGAAUAUCUGGAUUGAAGAGAGCCUUCGUAGUAGCUUUCCCCUGAGGAUGACUGCUGCUGCACAGAAAACAGCAAAUUUGGCCAGACCUCUGUCAUAGAUGAAAACUAAAAUGGGAAAUAAAGUAACAGCUUUUCCCACCCUGA